rnacentral:rRNA from 1 species
CCUACGGGAGACAGCAGUGGGGGAUAUUGCACAAUGGGGGGAACCCUGAUGCAGCGACGCCGCGUGGGUGAAGAAGCGCCUCGGCGCGUAAAGCCCUGUCAGCAGGGAAGAAAAUGACGGUACCUGAAGAAGAAGCCCCGGCUAACUACGGGCCAGCAGUCGCGGUAAUACGUAGGGGGCAAGCGUUAUCCGGAUUUAAUGGGUGGAAAGGGGGCGCAGACGGCGAUGCAAGCCAGGAGUGAAAGCCCGGGGCCCAACCCCGGGACUGCUCUUGGAACUGCGUGGCUGGAGUGCAGGAGGGGCAGGCGGAAUUCCUGGUGUAGCGGUGAAAUGCGUAGAUAUCGUGAAGAACACCGGUGGCGAAGGCAGCCUGCUGGACUGCAACUGACGUUGAGGCCCGAAAGCGUGGGGAGCAAACAGGAUUAGAUACCCGAGUAGUC